rnacentral:SRP_RNA from 1 species
GCCUGGCUAUUGUUAUGGCAUAUGCCUAUAAUCCCUGCUCGUGGGGGAGGCUGAGGAUGGUGGAUGACUUGUUUUGGGUCUUUUGAGUCACAGUAGGGCUGAAAUCAAUUCUUUAUCUGCACCAGUAUAGUGGGCCCUCUGAGAGCUGGGGACCGCUAGGCUGCCUAAGAAGGGGCAAAUUGAGCCAGGUUGGAAAUGGAGCAGGUCAAAGUUCCCAUGCUAAUCAAUCCUGGGAUAGGACUUGUGAGUAGCUACUGAAUUUCCAGUCUGGAUGAGACAAGGAGACCAGUCUCC